rnacentral:rRNA from 1 species
GACGGGGGGGGCAAGUGUUCUUCGGAAUGACUGGGCGUAAAGCGUGCGCAGGCGGUUUGUUAAGUCUGCUGUGAAAUCCCCGAGCUCAACUUGGGAAUUGCAGUGGAUACUGGCAGGCUGGAGUAUGGUAGAGGAAGGUGGAAUUCCCGGUGUAGCAGUGAAAUGCGUAGAGAUCGGGAGGAACACCAGUGGCGAAGGCGGCCUUCUGGACCAAUACUGACGCUCAUGCACGAAAGCGUGGGGAGCAAACAGG